AUGCAACGGUGACAUCAGAGCUUGCUCUGGUUGAUCAGUGGCGAACGGGUGAGUAACACGUGAGUAACCUGCCCUUGACUCUGGGAUAACUCCGGGAAACCGGGGCUAAUACCGGAUACGAGACGCGACCGCAUGGUCGGCGUCUGGAAAGUUUUUCGGUCAAGGAUGGACUCGCGGCCUAUCAGCUUGUUGGUGAGGUAAUGGCUCACCAAGGCGUCGACGGGUAGCCGGCCUGAGAGGGCGACCGGCCACACUGGGACUGAGACACGGCCCAGACUCCUACGGGAGGCAGCAGUGGGGAAUAUUGCACAAUGGGCGAAAGCCUGAUGCAGCGACGCCGCGUGAGGGAUGAAGGCCUUCGGGUUGUAAACCUCUUUCAGUAGGGAAGAAGCGAAAGUGACGGUACCUGCAGAAGAAGCGCCGGCUAACUACGUGCCAGCAGCCGCGGUAAUACGUAGGGCGCAAGCGUUGUCCGGAAUUAUUGGGCGUAA
rnacentral:rRNA from 1 species